rnacentral:rRNA from 1 species
AGCGCUCUUUUUAAGAAGAGCAGCGAACGAGCGAGUAACACGUUGGAACCUGCCCCGAACUCAGGGAUAAGCAUUGGAAACAGUGUCUAAUACCGGAUAGUCCCGAAAGAGUAAAGAUUUUUCGGUUCGGGAGGGGCCUGCGGCCUAUCAGCUUGUUGGUAAGGUAACGGCUUACCAAGGCUAUGACGGGUAACUGGUCUGAGAGGAUGAUCAGUCGCGAUGGAACUGAGACACGGUCCAU